rnacentral:rRNA from 1 species
GUUGUAUGGUUAAGUGACUAAGCGUACACGGUGGAUGCCUUGGCAGUUGGAGGCGAUGAAGGACGUAUUAACUUGCGAUAAGCCUAGUCAAGCUAGUAAAAAGCACUUGAGACUAGGAUUUCCGAAUGGGGAAACCCACCUGCUUGCAGGUAUCGUUAACUGAAUACAUAGGUUAACGAGGCGAACGCGGAGAACUGAAACAUCUAAGUACCCGUAGGAAAAGAAAUCAACCGAGAUUCCGAAAGUAGCGGCGAGCGAAAUCGGAACAGCCCUUAAGCUUAUUAUGUGUUAAUGGAAGGCUCUGGAAAGUGCCACGAUACAGGGUGAUAGUCCCGUACAUGAAAAGACAUUUUAAGUGAAAUCGAGUAGGUCGGAGCACGUGAAACUUUGACUGAAUAUAGGUGGACCAUCAUCUAAGGCUAAAUACUCCCAACUGACCGAUAGUGAACCAGUACCGUGAGGGAAAGGCGAAAAGAACCCCUGUGAGGGGAGUGAAAUAGAACCUGAAACCGUGUACGUACAAGCAGUAGGAGCAGACUUGUUCUGUGACUGCGUACCUUUUGUAUAAUGGGUCAGCGACUUAUAUUUUGUAGCGAGGUUAACCGAUUAGGGUAGCCGUAGGGAAACCGAGUCUUAACUGGGCGAAUAGUUGCAAGGUAUAGACCCGAAACCCGGUGAUCUAGCCAUGGGCAGGUUGAAGGUUGAGUAACAUCAACUGGAGGACCGAACCCACUAACGUUGAAAAGUUAGGGGAUGACCUGUGGCUAGGAGUGAAAGGCUAAUCAAACCGGGAGAUAGCUGGUUCUCCCCGAAAUCUAUUUAGGUAGAGCCUCGGACGAAUACUUACGGGGGUAGAGCACUGUUAAGGCUAGGGGGUCAUCCCGACUUACCAACCCUUUGCAAACUCCGAAUACCGUAAAGUAAUAUCCGGGAGACACACGGCGGGUGCUAACGUCCGUCGUGAAGAGGGAAACAACCCAGACCGCCAGCUAAGGUCCCAAAGUCAUAGUUAAGUGGGAAACGAUGUGGAAAGGCCCAGACAGCCAGGAGGUUGGCUUAGAAGCAGCCAUCCUUUAAAGAAAGCGUAAUAGCUCACUGGUCGAGUCGGUCUGCGCGGAAGAUGUAACGGGGCUAAACUAUGCACCGAAGCUGCGGAUUCAUCUUAGGAUGAGUGGUAGGGGAGCGUUCUGUAAGCGGUUGAAGGUGUACCGGGAGGUAUGCUGGACGUAUCAGAAGUGCGAAUGCUGACAUGAGUAACGAUAAUGCGGGUGAAAAACCCGCACGCCGGAAGACCAAGGGUUCCUAUCCCAUGUUAAUCAGGGUAGGGUAAGUCGACCCCUAAGGCGAGGCCGAAAGGCGUAGUCGAUGGGAAACGGAUUAAUAUUUCCGUACUUGGUAUAAUUGCGAUGGGGGGACGGAGAAGGCUAAGCAAGCAUGGCGAUGGUUGUCCAUGUGAAAGUGAGUAGGGCGUUUGUUUAGGUAAAUCCGGACGAACACUAAACCUGAGACACGAGACGAGCUACUACGGUAGUGAAGUUGCUGAUGCCAUACUUCCAGGAAAAGCCUCUAAGCUUCAGAUUAUACCGAAUCGUACCCCAAACCGACACAGGUGGUCAGGUAGAGAAUACUAAGGCGCUUGAGAGAACUCGGGUGAAGGAACUAGGCAAAAUCGUACCGUAACUUCGGGAGAAGGUACGCUCCUAUCUGUGAUGAGACUUGCUCUCUAAGCGGACGGGAGCCGCAGUGACCAGGUGGCUGGGACUGUUUAUUAAAAACACAGCACUGUGCAAAAUCGCAAGAUGACGUAUACGGUGUGACACCUGCCCGGUGCCGGAAGGUUAAUUGAUGGGGUUAUCUUCGGAGAAGCUCUUGAUCGAAGCCCCGGUAAACGGCGGCCGUAACUAUAACGGUCCUAAGGUAGCGAAAUUCCUUGUCGGGUAAGUUCCGACCUGCACGAAUGGUGUAACCAUGGCCACGCUGUCUCCACCCGAGACUCAGUGAAAUUGAAAUCGCAGUGAAGAUGCUGUGUACCCGCGGCUAGACGGAAAGACCCCGUGAACCUUUACUACAGCUUGGCACUGAACAUUGAACCUACAUGUGUAGGAUAGGUGGGAGACUUUGAAG